GCAGCCAGUGAUUUUGGUGCUGAAGCCAUGAACACUGCAAUAAAAUUCAAUGUUGAAACCGCUGAGGGUGAAACGUUUUUGGGAUCACCCUCAGCUGUCCAAGUUUCCAUUGAAGAUACCUGUAGAGUAUCAAAAAGUUCUGAACCUGAGGAAGUAACUCUUCAAGCUGGCAAUGAGGCACCAGAGAAUGGGAAGCAGACCCAGAACACUUCAACUAUUGAGGUAGCUGGAGAGAGAGGAACCGAGGAAAACAAAGUAACAGAAGAUUCACAAGAGAAACCAGUCGAAGAUAAGAGCAGUGAGAGAGAAACUAGUGCCAUUCAUAAUUAUGAGAAAGAUGGAACAAUGACAGAUGUAAAUACUGAUUUGGGAUCCAACGAACAAGUUGUCAACGUACUAGAGGCUGUAUCAGAUCGAAACAAAGAAGAUUUAAUUCAUAUACCAGAUCCAACGGUAAUCAGCUUGAACAAGAGUGUUGAAACUGUUGUGGAGCCAUGUGUGAAAGCUGAAAGCACAUCUGAAGUCGAAUUCACUGGAGAAGAAAUGAGAGAAACAAGCUUUACAGAAGCAGAGAAGUCUAGUAAUCUAACAGAUGAGGUGCCUGAGGCAACCAAACCAAGUGAGGGAGUAGCAGAUGAAAAUGAGAAAGAAAAAUCCACGUAUGAAGAUGCUGAAGGCAUCUUCCCCUCAACAACAGACAUCCAGAGAAAUGAAGAAGCAAUCUUAAAAAUCAGAGAGAGGGAUAAUGAAAUGUUAGACACACAAUCAGUGACACCAGCAGCAGAUGUAUCAGGUGUAUAUGAAGCUGAACCUGAGGAAAGCGCGAACCUUAAAGAGGCCUCCAGUAUUUUAUGCGAGAAGAAAUCUCAAGAUGAAACUGAUCUGAGUGAAGAUAUAAUGAACAGCAAGAACAGCAUAGAUACUCCUGCCAUGCAAACAGAAGGUAAGGAUAUCGUCAA
rnacentral:lncRNA from 1 species